rnacentral:ncRNA from 1 species
UAAAUAUGUAUCCACGUCUGAAUCGUGUGAUCCCCCCAUCUGGGGGGAUACAGAGCAACCUUGACCUUUUGUGAAGGGUUUGAGUUUGAGCAUACCUGUUAGGACCCAAAAUUAUGUAUAAGCAAGGUGAAGCUAGAGGAAACUCUGGUGGAGGCUUGUAGCAAUACUAACGUGCAAAUCAUUUGUCAGACUCGGGUAUAGGGCCAAAAGAUUAAUCAAACCAUCUAGUAAUUAG